GAUGAACGCUGGCGGCGUGCCUAAUACAUGCAAGUCGAACGCUGAAGGAGGAGCUUGCUCUUCUGGAUGAGUUGCGAACGGGUGAGUAACGCGUAGGUAACCUGCCUGGUAGCGGGGGAUAACUAUUGGAAACGAUAGCUAAUACCGCAUGACAACAGUUAUUGCAUGAUAACUGUUUAAAAGGGGCAACUGCUCCACUACCAGAUGGACCUGCGUUGUAUUAGCUAGUUGGUGAGGUAACGGCUCACCAAGGCGACGAUACAUAGCCGACCUGAGAGGGUGAUCGGCCACACUGGGACUGAGACACGGCCCAGACUCCUACGGGAGGCAGCAGUAGGGAAUCUUCGGCAAUGGACGGAAGUCUGACCGAGCAACGCCGCGUGAGUGAAGAAGGUUUUCGGAUCGUAAAGCUCGGUUGUAAGAGAAGAACGAGUGUGAGAGUGGAAAGUUCACACUGUGACGGUAUCUUACCAGAAAGGGACGGCUAACUACGUG
rnacentral:rRNA from 1 species